UACAGAGGGGGCAAGCGUUGUUCGGAAUACUGGGCGUAAAGGGCGCGUGAGGCGCCUUGCUAAGUCGAAACCGUGGAAAUCCCUGGGCUCAACCCAGGGAACUGCGUCCGAUACUGGUUGGGCUUGAAUCCGGGAGAGGGAUGUGGAAUUCCCGGUGUAGCGGUGAAAUGCGUAGAUAUCUGGAGGAAUACCGGUGGCGAAGGCGGCAUCCUGGACCGAGAUUGACACUGAUGAGCGAAAGCUAGGGGAGCAAACGGG
rnacentral:rRNA from 1 species